rfam:Phaseolus vulgaris cultivar G19833 chromosome 6, whole genome shotgun sequence.
AGGUGCGAUCAUACCAGCACUAAUGCACCGGAUCCCAUCAGAACUUCGCAAUGAAGCGUGCUUGAGCGAGAGUAGUACUAGGAUGGGUGACCUCCUGGGAAGUCCUCGUGUUGCACUUC